rnacentral:rRNA from 1 species
AUCCAACCUGCCGUCUACUCUUGACAGCCUUCUGAAAGGAAGAUUAAUACAAGAUGGCAUCAUGAGUCCGCAUGUUCACAUGAUUAAAGGUAUUCCGGUAGACGAUGGGGAUGCGUUCCAUUAGAUAGUAGGCGGGGUAACGGCCCACCUAGUCUUCGAUGGAUAGGGGUUCUGAGAGGAAGGUCCCCCACAUUGGACUGAGACACGGUCCAA